GGUUAAAUUUGCAAGUAGUCAAUCUAUGCAAUAUCUGACACAUAAUUCUCAAAUGUAACAGAUUUAUUUGGUGCAACACCAUGUACAUUUUGAUAUACACCACAAAUUAAGGAAGCACGAAGAUCUUAAGCAGAAAUUAGUUUAAUUUAGAAUACAUAAUAGAUGGUUACAGUACACUAAGGCUUUGCAGUUAUAAUUUUUACACAAAGCAUGGUAAUAAUGUUUGCUCCACUUUUUCAACAGUCCGACAGACCAGCCGGCCAGACAGGCCUCAGACAACUCAGGAUGAUGCUGGGAUUGCAGGUUCUGCUUCUGUAAGCCGACCUCCUGUAAGGCGCCCAUCACAGGGCUCGGGCCACUUACCCAGGAGGCCAAGUAAGACACGGCGUCUUGGCACGGAAUCUGCGGCUCCAUCUUCCCCACCCAGGCGGCGCAUUUCGGCAGUGUCACCCCAGCCACCACUGGCACUAUUGGCGAGUCCACAGAGUGAUGAGCCCCGAUCACCUCAGUUAUCUGAGCCCAGCUUGAUGGCCGACGUGGACCAGCAGGGACAAGACCAACAGGCAACCUUCACACUGCAACUAACACCUGUUGACCCGAGCCA